GAGUCAGCAGAUCCAUCGGUCUCGGCAACGGCUGGCUGUUCCGGGUUCGGAGGCAGCGAUGAGUCACUUGAUUGGUUGAAAUGCGGUUGGGAUCGAAAGCAGAGGCUUCAGUCGCCGUUUUCUGACCGAGAUCGUGAGGAUUACAGAAAGCUUCAUAAAAUUAUGGAUAAAAAUGCAGUGAAUUAUGGAACGCGCAGCGCCACCGUGCGCCACGUGGACGCGCACGGAGCCGAGCUAUUUGUGGAUUAUUUACUUAUUUCUAGACAUGUUUUGGACAAAAUAUGAUACUUGCUAGUAUUGUCUGGAUGACUACUCUUGGAUUAUGGCCGGUUUUUGUGGAUUAUUUUCAUCGUUGACCGGUAAAAGACCAUCGAAACGGUGACGCCUGCUGGAGUCCCAUGGUUGACACCAGGUCUGAGGAAGUAUUCCUGUCAACUCACAGUCGACACAAACACAGUAAACAGAAACCUCAAACUGUCUGACAACAACAGGAAGGUGACAUAUGUGGAGGAGG